AGUGAACGCUGGCGGUAGGCCUAACACAUGCAAGUCGAACGGAAGCACAGUAAGCGCUUGCUCUUACGGGUGGCGAGUGGCGGGCGGGUGAGGCAUACAUCGGCUUCUUCUUUUUCGUGGGUGAUAACGGGGGGCAACUUACGCUACUACCGCAUACGACCUACGGGAGGGAGCAGUGGAUCUUCGGGCCUUUCGCGAUACAUUGAGACGGUGCCGGAUUAGCUAGUUGGCGGGGUAAAGGCACACCAAGGCGACGAUACGUAGCUGGUCUGAGAGGAUGAUCAGCCACACUGGAACUGAGACACGGUCCAGACUCCUACGGGAGGCAGCAGUGGGGAAUAUUGGACAAUGGGCGCAAGCCUGAUCCAGCCAUACUGCGUGGGUGAAGAAGGCCUUCGGGUUGUAAAGCCCUUUUGUUGGGAAAGAAAAGCAGUAGGUGAAUCCCCCGCUGUUCUGACGGUACCCAAAGAAUAAGCAACGGCUAACUUCGUG
rnacentral:rRNA from 1 species